UGGGGAAUUUUGGACAAUGGGCGAAAGCCUGAUCCAGCAAUGCCGCGUGUGUGAAGAAGGCCUUCGGGUUGUAAAGCACUUUUGUCCGGAAAGAAAUGGCUCUGGUUAAUACCUGGGGUCGAUGACGGUACCGGAAGAAUAAGGACCGGCUAACUACGUGCCAGCAGCCGCGGUAAUACGUAGGGUCCAAGCGUUAAUCGGAAUUACUGGGCGUAAAGCGUGCGCAGGCGGUUGUGCAAGACCGAUGUGAAAUCCCCGAGCUUAACUUGGGAAUUGCAUGGGUGACUGCACGGCUAGAGUGUGUCAGAGGGGGGUAGAAUUCCACGUGUAGCAGUGAAAUGCGUAGAGAUGUGGAGGAAUACCGAUGGCGAAGGCAGCCCCCUGGGAUAACACUGACGCUCAUGCACGAAAGCGUGGGGAGCAAACAGG
rnacentral:rRNA from 1 species